GAGAGAGCAGAGACAUGACUACCCGUUUCAAGAAGCACCGAAAGAAGCGCGGCCACGUCAGCGCCGGCCACGGACGUAUCGGCAAGCACCGGAAACAUCCUGGCGGUCGCGGUAACGCCGGAGGCAUGCACCACCACCGUAUCCUCUUCGACAAGUACCAUCCAGGGUACUUCGGAAAGGUUGGUAUGCGUUACUUCCACAAGCUUCGCAACAAGUUUUUCUGCCCCAUCGUCAACGUCGACAAGCUCUGGUCCCUAAUUCCUCAAGAAGUCAAGGCCAAAGCCUCACCCGAAAAUGCACCAAUGAUCGAUGUCACCCAGUUCGGUUAUGUCAAGGUUUUAGGCAAGGGAUUCUUGCCAGAGUCGCAGCCGAUUGUGGUCAAGGCCAAGCUCAUUUCUAAGGUCGCCGAGAAGAAGAUUAAGGAGGCUGGUGGUGCCGUGGUCCUCACCGCCUAGGUUUGGCUACAUUCCAUAGUUUAUAAUUUUAGAAAUUAGGGUUUUUGAAAUUUGAAUGAUUUCAUAUCUGAACAGGUUGGCAUUUCUGUUGAAUCUGUAUGCAGAGACUUUCUGUUAAUGUCCUUUUUUGUUUUUUUUUUUUGUUUUUGCGUUGGAUACAAUAUUAAAUCUUGAUUAUGGUAUUGUGGUUUCAGUGGCUUAAGAUAUGGAAAAUGAACUAAUGAUAUUGCAAGUAGUAGUCGAUCUUGCCCUAAUGUUAAAAAUGAUGCUUUUUUAGUUGAUCUGAGAAUAUCUUGACUGGAAUUUAGGGCUAAUUAACAAUAAUUUUCAUCUAUUGAAAUUAUAGAUGAUGGAUUUGGUUCAAUGUGGACUAUUCUUUUGGAAAUUGAAUUUGCGUUUUGAGCAGUGUUGCUGUUGAUUUGGUGAUUUGCUGCCCUUUUAGCUGGAGAGUUUUGUUCUCGUUGAUAUGUUCUUCCUAGAGCUUCUCUCUAAGAAAUAAAUCUUUCCAGAGGUGCCUGCUAAUGCUAUUGGUGAAAUCUAAUACCUUUGUUUACUGUACGGCUUAUUUUGUUUCCUUUCUUCGGGUAAAGGUCAUGCAUCUGGAAAAUGGAACUGAUGUUUCAGUUGGGCCUUUAAAUGAAAUUGACAUAUAAAAUGCUUAAUUUUAUCUGAUGAGCUAGUAACUUGAGAUACUGUGGCUGGCACCUUUUAACUAGAAUAGGCUAAUCUCUCCAAAAACUGCUUAUCUGGAAUUAGUCUAUCCCUGAAAAAAUAUCGAUUAGAAUCUAUUUCACAGUAAGAACUGUAUUGGUGGCAUAAAAGUUUGAGUUGCGAUUAAAAUUGUUGCUGAUAAAUGACUUAUCAAAAAAAAAAAAAAAUUGUUGCUGAUAAAUGAUUUCCUUCCUGCUUGCUUUCCUGGUAAUUUCUCCCUUGACAUCAAUCUCUCUGGCAUCCAUAUCCCCUUCCUUUUCUUAUUCUGUCUUCAGCAAUUGAAGCCUGCAUCUACCAUCAGAUUAAGGCUCUAGUAAUUCCAUCUUUGGACGUAUAUGUGAUUUUUUGAAAAAAAUCUGAGUUGUAUUUUGGUUUGAGUCCUUAAGUUGAUGGUGGAAGUGAAAUGUCCCCAUGUGAUACUAGAAUUUUCUGUGGAUGAUUAUUAUGGGAACCACUGCUUGUAUAUGCCAUGUGGUAGUUACUGCUUUAUUCUAGUUGGUUUUAUAAAACCAUCCUGGAGAGCACAUUUGUUUGUAUACUGUCCUUGAUGGCAUUUCACACCAGGUCCCUGAAAAUUAUCCAUGUAGAUGGAGCUGUUACUGUAACAAGCAUUUGUAGAUAUGUUUCUGGCUAUUAGGUUAUUUCAAGGUUUUUGGCAAGGGAGUCUUGCAAUAGUCGUAGCCAAUUGUGGUCAAGGAGAAAGGUCAUUUCCAAUAUAGAAGAAGAUUAAGGAGGGCGGUGGUGCCAUGGUCUUGAUAAUUUUAUAAUUAUCAGUUUAUAAACUACAUUCAUUAGUUUAUAAUUUCAUAAAUUAAGGUUUUGAAAUUUUAACCUAGUGUGUAUACACAACAAUGAAUCGUGGUGAACCCUCGGAUGACCUAUCCAAGAUUAGUGGGGAGAUCCUCAGUAGUGGUGACCCUUUCACUCUUCCAUGGAUUGAUACAUGUACCAAAUGCUCAUAUGGGAAAGUUGACUCUUGGGUCUGAAACUUGGGGGGUUGCUCUGAGAAAUCCUUUCUUUCUUGUCCACUUAGGGGGGUGAAGACACUUGUGCGGAUUAUAGGUGAUGGUUACAAGAGUGGCAAGGAAGUACCUGAUGACAUUCAGGGAUGGAUGUAGAUCCUUUGGGUAGGAUAAUCAUUUUGGUCUUGGGAGAGAUGGUGACCAUUCUCAAGAACCAAAAAGACUGAGCUGAGGGAUACCCUAUCAGUUUUAUAACAAUGGUGGGAGGGCCCUUGAUCUAUCAAUAGAGGGAACAAAAAAUGGGCUUUGCUCUCCUUUAUAAUAUGAAGACAGAAAUAAGGGUUGAAGUUUAGAUCCCUCAUAGUGGUUUUGCCUAUAGAAAAGAUCAUGAAAGAGGAGAUCAGAAUGGUACCCUAAUCCAUUUACGAUCCUGAGUUUCCAAACACAUCGCACUUCCACUCGGGUUGAGGCUGCCACUCGGCCCUAAGAUGGAUCAAAUAACAGUAGCUAGAUGGAGUAUGGUAGAAUUCUCCAAUACGGCCAUUUGGGAAGUCCCUUUGAGGAUGACUCCCGUACAAUUCUUGCAAGAGCUGGAGAAGCAUUAUACGGGUAAUGCUGCACAUCCAUAUUUCUCCAAUACGGCCAUUUGGGAAGUCCCUUUGAGGAUGACUCCCGUACAAUUCUUGCAAGAGCUGGAGAAGCAUUAUACGGGUAAUGCUGCACAUCCAUAUUACUGCUUGCCACCUACGCUCCGCCAUCCAUUCCAAGUUAAGUACCUAGGUGAUAUUAUCCCGAUCAAACAGAAGACAGAGGGGAUGAGUGGAACAGGAGUCUACUGGAUGUGGUUCAACUAGCAGAGACUCUUGGAAAAGCUGGUUGGAAAAGUUGGAGUAAUAAUGUCUAAACUGGUUGACAUGUCAAAUCUGUAUGUGGAGAGUUUCCGUCAAUGCUUUUUUUUUCUUUCAUUGGAUACAAUGUUGAAUCUUGAUUAUAGUUGUGUGGUUUCAGUGGCUUAAGGUGGUAUGGAAAGUGAGAAGAAGUUGGUGAUCUUGGCCCCAGUGUUAAAAAUAAUGGUUUUUAAUUUUAUUUUUAUUUUUUAAUAGGGAGAUUAUGCUAGAAACAUUCGGAUUCGUGAUGCAGAAAUGUGAUGACAUCUUGACUGGAAUUUAGGGCUAAUUAACAAUAAUUUUCAUCUGUUGAAAUGAUAGAUGAUGGAGUUGGUUGAAUGGAGACUUUUUUUUGGGAAAUUGAUGAAUUUGGGUUUAAAGCAGUGAUGCUUUUGAUUUGGAGAUUUGCUUACUUAUGGCCAUCUGCGUUUGCAUAAUAUUCAUCUCUUUUUGGCCCAAAAAGUAGGUUGUCAUAGAAAAAUGAUCAAUUAGUAUAGUCUCUGUAACCAAUUCAGUCACAGCUGGAGCAGUCAGACGCGCUUCAAGUCCAAAAUGGUGUUGGAUCCUUUUUUUGGAGCUUUUAGUUUUUGUGUUGUCUAGAGGCUUAAUUGAAGAUAAUGAUUUUCCCGCCCAAAGUGUUGGAAAGUUGUGCCUCCUUAUUGCCGUCUAGUGUCGUUUUCCUGUGCAGCUGGGAGUCGGAUGCAACCACUAAUGCAUUCGCGGUCUUGUACUUGUUUCGUGUUCCCUGGCUUUACAUGAUAACAUGCUAAUAUGCUAUUAACGUGACCAAAGGCCCAAAAUAAAAAAUAAUUCCCAUAAAAUAACCAUACCCUUUCUAUUUAUUGUAUAAACUUGUUUGUGUUAUUAAAUGUAUUGUUCUUGUGAUUCGACGUUCACCAGCACAGCGAUAUUUUCGACAAAAUAUCUUGAAUUUUUAAUUUUUUCUAUUUUACGGACUGCGAACUAUCAAUACAAAAAGCAUGGGAGAAAUCUAUUGCCAAGAAAUUGGUAGAGAGAGAAAAAUCGGUAACAGCAUCGAUUGAAUCUAACAAUAUAUAGCACGGUAUUAGGGAAAAAUCACCAAUUAAUUGAUGGUUUUUUGGACCUUUUUUCCGUGCUCUCCGACAUUAACAUUAAAGAUCCAAGGAUUAGAGAGAGAAAAAUCGGUAACAGCAUUGAUUGAAUCAGACAAUAUAUAGCAAGAUAUUAGAGAAAAAUCACCCAUUAAUUGAUGGUUUUUUGGACCUUUUUUCCGUGCUCUCCGACGUUAACAUUAAAGAUCCAGUGAUUGCAAAAAUGGCCAAGAAAUUUGUAGAGGGAGAAAAAUCAUCAAUUAAUUGAUGGUUUUUUGGACCUUUUUUCCGGGCUCUCUGACAUUAACAUUAAAGAUCCAAGGACUAGAUUUUGAAGUUGAGAUCUGGCUUUGGUUUGCGCCAUGUGUUUUAAAGUGCACCAAUGGAAUAUUGAAGAUCUCAGAGCUAGAAUUGAAUCUUGGUGAUCUGAAGGGUUUGCAAUGGUUACAACUAUACGAUUUCAUCAAAUUAAUGAUUUCUAAUGGUUAUUUGACCUACCAACGAUUAAUAUGAUCCAAAAUUUUGAUUUCUAUUGGACACUUACUCUAAAAAAUUACAUAAAAAAUAAAAAUUGUUGGGGCUCAUUUCAGAUUGAAGAAUCAUUGAAAUUUGUAAAAUUCAAAGUGGGGGAACUUGAUUGCGAAAUCAUAGAAGCACACUUUAGAUUUUAGAUGAAAUUGGAAAUGAUUUCAAAAUAGGAAGUUGUUUGAAAGUGAUGCAUUUUGAAUUUCGAAUGAAUUUAAAAAUGGAUUAUAAAUAGAAAGUCCUUCUAGCAUAACUUCUUCAAUUAACUAUAAUUUAUUCGUUUGAAACUUUAGAUUCCUAACUUCUUGCAUUUUGAAGUGAUGUAUGGCUUGCCUCUUAACUCCCACAAGAAGCUACCAAAAAUUCAAUACAAAUUCAAAAUUGAUUUUCUUCAGCUUUACCAAUUUUGAUUCUCUACUAGAUUUUUGCUUUAACUCAUCUUCCAAUCAUUUGCAUCAACUUUGCCUCUCAUGUCUCAUGCCCAUUAAUUGAAGAUGGGGUUUUUAUUUAUAUUUUUUUCCUCUCUUUUCUUUCAAAAUUAAAUUUAGAUAUUAGCAAAAAAACUAAGGUUUUAACAUCAAUUCAAGUUAAUUUGAGUGAUAUAAGCCUUUAUAUUGCAUAGUUCAUAUCACAUAUAUGUCAUUAUAACACAUAUUUUAGCUUUAAAAAGAUGACUUUCUAAAAAAAAUUUCCCUUUUUUUUAUAAAAGAUUUGUGUCAAUUCAAUAGAUUUCUUUUAUGCUAAAAAGAGAGAAAACAAGUUGGCAUAGGAUACCAACUUUAGGAUAAUGAAGAAGAAAAUGAUUGAUCCAUUCUUCCUCAAUUUUGCACAUGUAGCAUGUACUCUUUUUCGAACCUAAUCAACAGUAAAGGUUUGAUCUCAAGUUGCUUUCUAUGCAAAGAUUCCCACCUUUAUAUAUCCUCAAUUUUGCACAUGUAGCAUCAUGUAUUUUUUUUUCUAUGCUAAUCAAUCAUAAAAGUUUAAUCUCAAGUUGCUUUCUAUGCAAAGAUUCCCACCUUUUUAUAUAUAUAUAUAUAUAUUAUUUUAUUAUUUUUUAGAGUUUUUCUUAAUACUUUAAUGGAUUUCGAUCAACUUUCAUUUUAUUGAUAUUUUUUUAUCAAAACUUUUGUUUGAAGUUUCAAUAUUUCAAGUCCAAUUACUCAUAUUUACAUGAUUUCCAGUAGUUUAAUCAUUGAAUGCACUUAUUUUCUAAUAUUUUUAUCCUUGAAUGCACUCAUCUUCUUGGUUUUAUUUUAUUUAUUUUAUUUUUUAAACAAAAAAUUAUUUAAUUUUUAUGUUUUUUUUAAAGUUUAGAAAUUGUCAUUUUUAGAUAAACAUUAGAAUUAUAAAUUUUUAUCUUUUAUUAAAAUAUUAUAUCUUACCAUACAUAUUAUAAAUACUUUAAAAAAAUAUAAAAUAUAAUUAUUGAAUUAUUCUUUGUUUUAAUGAAUAUAAAAUAUGAUAUAACUUUAAUUUGUCAAAAAAUUAAAUAUUUCUGUGGCUUUAUUAUUAUUAUUAUUAUUAUUGUUAUUAUUCUGAAAUUUAUUGUACUUGUAAUAUUUUGUUUUUAUUUAAAAACAAGUCCUAAUAAUAUAGGUUACCUUAAAAAUAACUUAACAAUUCAACCAUCUUGCCCAUUAAAAUUUGAAAAAAUAAAAAAUGGAGAGAUAAACACUCACAAUUUGAACUAAUGUUGGAGUUUCUAAAUGCAACUUCUAAAUUGAAAGUAAAGCCACAAUUUCUAUGUCACUUUUAAAUCAUUCUAAAUUUGAAUUCAAGUUUUAGCUUCUAAAUUCAGUUUUGUAAUUUCAGUUGGAGCCGUAACUUAAUAAGUAAAAGUAGAUUUGUAAAUUGAAUCACCAUAACAGAGGGAUUAAGUUUCGGAGGAAGAACAACGAAUAAGGAAAAAUAGAGCUUUCAAAAGAGCAUUGUUUUAGACUAAUCUGACAAAAACUUGUUAUAUUCCUGCAAAAAAUUGGAUGAGAAUCGUUUCGCGUUGAGAACUGUAUCGCCAGCAAUGUUAUUCAUACAAAUUUGAGUUGUGAGUAACAAUUUGCUGAUAAACGACUCUCUUCCUGCUUGAUUUCCUGGUAGUUCAUCCCUCCACAUCAUUCUCUCUGCCAGCUUCAUUCCCUCCCCAUUUUUUUAUUCUGUCUCCAGCAAUUGAAGCCUGCAUUUACCAUCAGAUUAAAGCUCUAGUAAAUCCAUCUUUGGAAGUAGAAGUGAUAAACUGAGAGUGAGUGAAAUUUGUCCAUGUGAUAAUUAAUAGAAUUUUCUGUGGAUGAGUAUGAGCACCAAUGCUUGUGUAUGCUGUGUGGUGGUUACCUCUUUAUUCCAGUUGGUUCUAUAAACCAUCCCGAAGAGUACACAUGUUUGGACAACUGUCCCUGAAAGCAUCCCACACCAGAUCCCCUGAAAUUUAUAAAUGCAUCAAAACUACAUGGCCAGAGACAUGAUUAGAACUUUCCCUUCUACGGGCAUUAACAUAGUGCAAGUUACCUUGACACCCAGGCCGACCUUGUAGCCCAGUACGAGACCCAGAGGAACCCCAAAUAGGUAGUAGCAUGCAAUGUUCACCCAAGCAACAAAAGCUUGCCAUCCUGCUCCAAUGGCCACCCCUGUAGAAGUAAAAUCACUCCAUGAUCAGACUGUCCCGUUAAUCGGACCACGGCAAAUAGCAACAAAACAAGAAAGAAAAGAGUAAAUACCAGAGAGAACGGGCUGAACAUUGUUGAUGACAAUGCAGAAGGCUAACAAGGGUGUGAGCUCAUCAACGAGCUCUUCCACUUCUUCACUGUCUGAAAACAAGGCGGGAUACUGCUUCCGGAAGAUGAUUAGUAUGGCUGAGAGGACAAGACCGAUUAAAAAUGAAGUUAUCACCACCACCACUACUGCGAAUUUUGCUGUUCUUGGAUGUGUUGCCCCCAGUUCAUUUGACACCCUUACACUGUACAUAUCAAAUAGGCUUUGUAAGGAUUUUGUCUUGUUUAUUUUGCAAAUAGUAAAUACACACUGGUAAAGCUGUUUCUGCAACAAACCUUAUAGCGGCGUUGCAUCCUAGUGCCACCAUCACUGUCCAGCCCAAUAUGUUCAUACUGUAAGUUCAUAUUUGGUAAGAUAAAACAUUCAGCAACUGAUGAUUUUAUUAAUCAUAAUAACCAUUAAUUAAUGAUAAUAACAAACAAGAACCAAGUGAAUUCAUGGAUAUAUAAAUGAUCAUGCUUCUUCAAUCUUGAACUUAGGAAAUGAGAUUGUGGACCACGACCUCAACCUACCUCUUAGUCUUGUCAUCCCUUUCUUGGUUGACGAGGCCUCAUAAGAAUUUGUGGAUCAACGAUGAUGGUGCUUUAUUUCUAUCUUAACCGAUCAAAAUCCAGGACCACAUUCUUGACUUUGCUAUUCAAAGGAUACCAACUUUCCAGCUGUCUGUUUCUGCUAUUAUCAUCCAGUGGCAUAGAUUCUUUCUCUUUUACCCAUUAUUCAAUAGAGAGAAUAAAAAAAUAAAAUAAAAUAAAUAAAUUAUUAUUAUUAUUUUAUUUUUAAAAUUUAUUUUAUAUAAAUAUUGAAUAACUUAAAAAUACAUAAAUUUUAAAUUCAUUUCAAUUAUAUUUGAUUUGAUUUUCCAUUAUUUAUGAUAAAUUAAAUAAGAAAAAAUCAUUUUCCUUAUUUAAAAUAAAAUUAAAAAAAAUACAAAAUAAAGAAAAAAUGAAGAAAAAUAGAAAAUGAAUUUAAAAUUAUUAGACUGAUUUAUUUUCUUUUAAUUUUUUUUCCCUUUUUACAAAUUUCCUGAAUUAAACAUAUCAUUAAUUUUUAAAAACUGUGUGACAUGGCAUAAUCGAGCAGUUUGAAAAUUUCAAAUUGCACGUGGAGGUGCGUGAAAUAAUAAAAUUGUCCUUUUCUGAAACUGUGAACGGCCAGCAGCAGAAUCAGGACCCAUGUGUCAGAGUGACAUCCCUAAACGGUAUACGUCCAUCCUAUAUGUACGCACUCGACCUAUCCCAAUUGUAUACGAAGUCGUAUUUGUCUUUUAUUUAUUAGGCCACCGGUUUGAUUAAAUAAUAAAUACCGUAAAAUGAUAAUAUUUCUAAAUGUGAAAGGAGAGCUCACCAAAUGGACAAAGCAUCCACCGAGAUUUCUGCGUUCUUCAGGUAUCCAGCAAACAAAAUUAAUGCCAUGAAGUACCACACUUCUAAACUGCAUGGUUUUAAAUAUUGUAAGAUCAAAUCAAAAUAAAUGACUAUCAGAAUCGAGGCAUUAAGGUGCGAGCUUUGAUCUCUAUGUAGUAUGCUAUCUUUAUAUGAAAAUAAAAUAGGUUCUCAUUUAUUGUAAUUUGUCAUAUUUUAUUCACAAAAGGUAAUUUUUGAUCCAAAAUACAUAUUCCUUGUCUGUUAACUUGACUAAGGAAAAUGGAAAAAAUAAAUAUUUUACAAAGGUUUUAUUUGAAUUAAAUGUAAUAGGAGUUUUUAUGUUUAAUAAAAUUAGGCACUCUAUUUUCACUAUGGAAAUAGUUUUUUAUAUUUAAUAAAAAAUUUAUAAUAUUAAUAUUAAUCUUUAAAACUUACCACUUAAAAAAAUAAAAAAUAAAAAAGGAAGCUAUCUAAACGAUAUCUAAAUGUAGGGCGAAGAAAAGGGAGCGUGGAAGGGUAGAGAACUCACCAUAGCAUGACGGCGGAAGCGAGAGAUAACCUCACGAAUCCCCAUAGACUCUGAAAAGCCUUCCAGGAAAACCCAGUCCAUGCACGCCCACAUGUCCCACUAAAAAUGUAUAAGAGCUGAGCCACGUCGAUUAAAACCCAUGAGGCGUUAAGCACCACCGCUGCACCCACUAGACCCCACUGUAGCUUUAGCAUCAACAGCCAGCUAAACACGGUGUGCAGCACUAGCACCACCGCCGCUAUAACCGCCAUCACCAUGAUCUUGCUCUGAGCCUGCAGGAACUUGGCCAGCGGAAAAUUCACGGCGUAAGCGAACAGCUGAGGAAGCAUCCACACUGCAAACAUCCCUGCUUCUUUCGAGAUCGCCUCCGUCUGACCGAUUAGUUUUAGCAACCGUGCGGAGAAGAUGUACAGGAAACUCAGGAGCACGGCCGUCGAUGUAAGGAUAACCCAGGAUCUCUGCAUGUACACCCCCAGCAUAUCCAGCUGUCCUGCUCCGAACGCUUGCCCGCAUAGCGUCUCCAGCGCACUCCCCAUUCCCAGCUGUACCCAAUCAAUUUCGUAUCUUCAUUUUUAAAUCAGAGAAUAUCCAAAAUGGAAAAGGGGACUCAGAAAUUAACGUUGUACCAUGACGCCGAAGGAGAACCCGGCGAUUACUGAGUUCUCGACGGAGACGGCGGCGAGCUCUAAGGUUCCGACAUGACCGGCGAAGACUUGAGUGAUGGCGCCGAGGGAGUACUGGCAUAAGGAGGUGAAGAUGGCAGGGCCGGCCAGGUACCAGAGCUUCUUCGAUUCGACGAUGAACUCCUUGUAGAAAUCACGGACCCCGUUGAUGGGACCGAUGUCACUUUCAUCGGCGUUGAAGGUCGCUAGCAACGAGUUGGCUGCCGUUCGAUUUGGAGUUUCAUCGUCUUGUCUAGCGGAGAGAAGUGGCUGCUUACCAUUUUCCAUGAUGUUGAGGGACUCAGAAAAAUGUGGGUCUUAUUGCCUCGGCGACUGCAUGCCCUUCAUAUAGUCCACCCUCCCACUUCCGUGUUGCCGUCAUUAUCGGCAAUUGUGACACCACCUUCUCACAUCCAAUCACGGUUUGCCACGUUUUUCUAAUUGAUGUUGAUUCCUCUUGUCUGAAAAUUAAAGCUACCUAUGUUUGACCUUCACUCUAAAUAUCACUAAGGCUUCUUAUUUACUACAUUAUUCAUUUUGGGUCUAAUUUGGAGUCAGACGUGAGUUGUACUUGUACUUUUAUAAGCCUCAAUGCAUUUUUAGAAGGUUUAGAAUUAAUUGGCAGAUUAUGUAAUUAAGGUAAUUAAUGAUUAAAUGGUAUUUUCUAUAAAUGAGAAAUAUUACUCUCUUUUUCCCAAAUUGAAAAAAAAUAUUUUCUAAUUUUAUGAUCCGAGUAAAUGGACUUAUGGACCCUUCCUAUUAAAUAAGGAUUUAUUCAAGGUAAUUAAGACACUUAGUCCCAUAUUUUCAUGGCCUCAUUGGAUUUUCACAAUAGUAAGAUAAAAAAAUUGUUCUUAAUUACUUUUAUUUAAUUUUUUUAUUAAAAAAUAUAAUAAAAAACAUUAAAUUCAAAAUUUAUUUAUUUUAAAUUUUAAUUUUCUAUUUAAAUAUGAAAAAAAAAUCAAUAUCCAACUAUAAACAAAUAGGCUUAUUUGUCUACCUAACCAUUUUUUAUUGGAUUUAUUACAAUAAAUAACUUACUAAACUAUUAACCCUUAUUUCAAAGAAGUCAUUCCAAUUUUUGAAAGAAUUAAUUCAUACCUUUAAAUUAUAGAAAAAAUGAUAUAUUAAAAUAUUCUUUUUUCUUACUCUUGGAAUCAACUUUUUUCUUCAUCUAAAUUAUAAAAAGAAGGAUAUACUAAAAUUUUGUCUGGUGAGGAACAAAAGUAACUCACUUCUCUCUCUCUCUUUUUUUUUUUUUUAAAAAAAAAAACAAAACAAAGAAAUACAUAAUAUCUCUGAAUUGAAAUUUUAAAAAUAGGUAUAUAUAAGGAAAUCUAAUGAAAGCCUCAAGAAAAACAGAUGGGUAAUUAAGACACUUGCAGUGCCAUAUUUUUAUGGCCUCAUUGGAAUUUCAAAAUAGUAAGAUAAAAAAAAAAUUGUUCUUAAUUUCUUUUAUUUAAUUUUGUUAUUAAAAAAAUAUGAUAAAAAACAAUAUAUUCAAACUUUAUUUAUUUUUAAUUUUAAUUUUCUAUUUAAAUGUGAAAAAAAACAAAUCAAUAUCCAACUAUAAAUAAAUAGACUUACUUGUCUACCUAACCAUUUUUUUAUUGAAUUUAUUACAAUAUGAAAAAUGACAGAAAAAUCUUAUAUAAUUUCCAUAGGGGUCAAAAAGUUUUCUUAACAAAAAGAGAAAAGAUGAAAGAUUACCAUAUACAAAACCUUUCCUUCUAGUGUAUCUGUUUUUCUUGAGGCUUUCAUUAGAUUUUCCUUAUAUAUACCUAUUUUUAAAAUUCCAAUUUAGAGAUAUUAUGUAUUUCUUUGUUUGUUUUUUUUUAAAAAGAAAGAGAAGUGAGUUACUUUUGUUCCUCACGGAAUAAUUGAAAAGACAAAAUUUUAGUAUAUCCUCCAUUUUAUAAUUUAGAGGAAGAAAAAAGAAAAUUUUAGUAUAUUAUUCUUUCUAUAAUUUAAAGGUGUGAAUUAAUUAUUUCAAGAAUUUGAAUGACUUCUUUGAGAUAAGCGUUAAUAGUUUAGUAAGUCAUUUUAUAAUUUACUUAUGUAUUUUCAUAUGUUUUUAAAGUAACAAAAUGUUUGAAUUCUCUAAAGCGAAUCAAAUAAUAUUUUUUUUUAAAAUAUGUUUUGAUUUGUUCAUCUUAUUAUAAGAUAAGUUGAAAAUAGCUUAUGACUUAUUUAUUGUUUUACAGUGAAUUUUAUUUUUUUAAUUUAUUACAAUGGUUUUAAAUCUUUAGUCACUAAUCACCUUGGUCAAUAAAGAUUAAGAUGUUGACGGUUGUCAUCCUUGGUGGAGGCAAUGAUGUUAUUAACUUUUGGUAUAUCAUUAAUUAGAAAUUGUUCCAUCCACUAGUAAGAGGAGCAGUUUAAACUACUUGCAUAGCUCAAGUCAAGUAUUUAGGCACGGUGUUAUUAUGAGUGGAUCAAAGUAAAAAUGUUUGUUUAUGGAAUAUUUUUGAAUAUGAAUUGAGUUUACAAAAUAUAUUAGUUGGUUUUAUUUUUAAAUUGGAAAUACUUGAUUUUUCAAACAAAGUGAAUUUAAUUAUUGAAAUAAAAAAGCUUACUUGUUAAUUAAUUUUUAUAAAGAAAAAAAAUGAUAUCUCUAGAUUUUGUACUAUACCUUAUCAUUCUUAUUGAACUAUUUUUUCUUAAUGAGCUAUUAGACUCAUUCUUUUUAUUAUUUUCAUUUUUAGGUACAAGUGAGAUCGGUGAGAAGAGCUCGAGAUAGAAAGGGUGUUUAUGUUAGAAACUAUUAUAAAUUGAUUAUUUAGGAAUCUUGACUUAAGAUUCAAUUUCAAUUGUGAUUUGCAGAGUCUUGACUUAAUAUAUAUAUUAAGUUUUGGAUUUGUUAGUUAAUGACAUUCAUAUGUUGGCCUCUAGAGUUUUAUAUGUGACAUGACCAUGGAGCUAUCAUCCUUCGAGUUCAAGGUGUCACGAGUAGUUAUAAUUUACUUUUUCAUUGAGUUUUUUUAAGGAAAACACAUGCCAUUCCAUCACUUACACUUUUAAGCUACAAUUCUUAUUUAUAAAUUGCUUGAUCGAGAAUUUGGAUAAAGCACAAGGCCUUUUGGAGUGUCAAUGUUGUCAAACAUAGUUAGUAGACUUGACAUGAUAUAGUUAAUAGGCCUAGCUGACUCAUUGUGGUUAUCGUGUCACUUCUCCUUUAGUGGAAUGAUAAGUUGUCUUUAAUCUAUAUGCAAGUACCUACAAAAGUGUAAUCUCAAGUAUGAUUCCUUGAGUUUUGACACUUAAUUCUUUUAGUUAAAAACUUCACAAUGUCCUUAUAAUUGAUUGUCUUCUUGGAUUGCUAUAAUUCUUAUCAUAUUUGAAGUUAGAGGGACUUUGAAUUGACUUGCAUUAUAUCUUUGUAUCAGCCCAUAUUUCUUUUUAGUAUUUGUAAGUUAUUUGUUAGUCAAUUUUUAAACAAAGAUUUUAUCAAAGCUUCUAUUAGUCAAUUUUAGAUUGAACAUAAUCAAUCUACUUUUUGAAUUGAUAAUAGUGUAAAUAUGUCUAAUUUCAAAGUAAAUUAAAGAGAAUGAAAGACAUAAUUUUUCCAUUAGGCCUACAAUCAUAAAAUUAUAAUGAAUAAUAAUGAGAACAAAGAUAGCUCUUCACAUAUUGAAUCACAAACUAUAUUAUAAUUAAUAAAAAUAAAGAUAAAUAAAGAAGGCCAAAGGAUAAAUCAUUCCUUUCUAAGAGGAUGAAGCGAGAUAUCAUCUUCCACAAUUGAAAAGUAGAUAGAUUCCUUAUAUUUUUAAUUUCUUUUCAUAUCUCAAUUGGCAUCGAUCUUUGUAAGUUGUUUAAUAAUACAAAAUGUGUGACUUCUAGUAAAUAGCAUGGUUAAUGAAACUUUUAUUCUAACACUUCUCUACUACUUCUACAACUUAUACUUACUAUAGGUUUUAACUUUACCCACAAAUAAAAUGUUUAAAUAAUGGUUCCCAAAAAAAUAUUAGAAAAAAAAAUAAAAAUGAUUUUUUUUUUCAUAUUUAGUUAUCGUAUAAAUUUUUUUUUUAAAAAUAAAAUAUAAUUAAAACUAGUUAAUAACUUAUAUAUUUUAAAAUUAUUUGAUUUUUAUAUGGAUUUGUUAAGAUUAAUAAAAUGAGUUUAAAAUAAGAAAUAAAAAUAAUUUAUUAGGUUUUAAUUAAUUUUUUAUUUUUCUUCUACUGUAGCCAAAGUGAAAAGUUGAUGUAAACCAAUCGUGCCAUACGCUCCAAGGCCGCAGAGGCUCUCAUGUGAAAUGGGACUGCUGAAAGGGCAAAAUAAUUGAGUCUUAAUUCCCAUGUGACCCCAAGUACACAUCACUGCUAUGGAAAUAAAUAACCCCUCUUAGGUCAACUAAUGAUACAGAAUCUGGGAGUCUGCAGGUAAAUCCAGAGCGAAGAAUCACACCCAUCCCUCAAGGUAAUUAGACAGGUACUCGAUUCUGUUCAAAUCCUUUUUCAAAUAUCAAGGAAAAAAAUUUCCAGGGGUAAGAGAUAAACUAUAGUACAAGAAGCAACGACGCAAAGAAACCAAGUUGGAAUUUCAGUUCAACUUCCACCAUGGGUUUACUGUUAGGUGGGAAUUUAAUAUGUUUCACUGGUUUCCGGUUACCAAGGUUGGAGAAGAUUUUUCAACUGAGCACAACUCUUGAUCCUAUGCUUCGCCCUUCCCAUAGACUGGCACAUUAGUUAGAACAGUUAUGGCGGUGGGAUCAUGUGUUUCCAUGGAAAUCAAUGCAAUUCCGAGGCAGAAAGGUUUUAGCCACAUAAUAAAUUGGGUGGCUGAAUCUUGACUGAACGGGUAAUCAAUUGUACUGAUCAGUGGCUGAACUGCAGAUGCCCAUGAUAGAAACUAAAGGCCUUGGAAAGCUGAAAGUCUUAAAGCCAUGAAAUUAUAAAGGAGAAAUAAUUAUGUGGUCCUUAUUUCUAUUUCCAUGGUUAGGCACGAGAGGAAUAUUGUUUUUUGGAGUCUGCAAGUGAUUUACAUGCUAGUUGGAGACUGCAUUAGAAAUUGUACUUAAAAGUGGGCCAAAAAAAGGAAGAAGAAAAGAAGGCGGUCUUUUAUAGAAGGAAAGAAUAGAAUUGGGGAGAAGGUUUCAAUAAUGCCGGCUGAUGUAUGAUCAAGGCUUGACAAAUCUGCAGAUUUCACAUGAUUUUUCUUGUCCCCAAGAAAGGAGAUACAGGAAAAAGAACGUAAUCACUUGCAUCCACUUUUGUUCGAAUGCCUCAGAAAUUAAAUAAUUACUGGACCACCUUAAUCAUGCCAUUAACUUCUUCCAUGUCACAAUAGGAAUCCUCCAAAAAGCAAAACUAUUUUUAGGUGUGGACUUUAAACAAAUACUAACUCAUGCAUGAUGGUUUUCAUAGGGCUUACUAAUCGACAAGCUUAAAUGAUAAUUUAGCACAAGAACUUGUCAUGCCUUGGGCUGCUGAUCACAUUGGCUUUUUCCCUCGUCCACUAGUCAUACCUAAUGUACUUUACUUUUGUUAUCAGCUGGUUGGGGAAGAUGGAUCACUUUUUCUCAAUUGGCCUGCUGACAAUUUUUUGCUUUAUGGAUCUUUCAGACAACUGCUCCUACCGCAUCAUGCCUGUACUACUACUGCGAUUAGGAUCCUGACAGCACAUAUGGGGUCUAAAGCUCCCUGUGCUUAUCAGUUACCACCAAGAAAGACCCUCUUUUGGUUCCAAUCUUCUUUGGAGUCAAUUGGAUCGGAAUUGCAUGAUGGCCCUUUCCCUAUAACUCUUUUCGUUUCCUACAAUCAUAAUUGCAUUAGAAAACUAGCCUUAUCAUUUGUCCAUAGAGUUUGUUGCAUAUGCACGCAUUCUCCUGGUAUUCCACCUGCAUUUUUGUUUCGGACAUACGCUGAAGCUGACUAAACGGUGGGCUGGCUAGCUCAUUCAAUCAUUUCUACCUUGAAAAAAGAACUUGAAAGUGAUAUUUACAUAUAAGAAUCUUAGCUUGCCUCUUGUCCCGAUUGAAUGGAGGACAUAUUUUCUUUCUUUAAUUAUCAUCAAUUUGGCUGUCCUCUUCGUACGUUCUAUAAAGAAAUCCCAAUAUUUGUAGAGUUGGGCCGAAAAUUUUGAACAUAGAUUCAGAUGCAUCUUUUUGAAUGGUAGAUAUGACUGUGACAAAACAAAGGGUUAAAGUUAGUGGUAGCUAGCUACGUUCCUUCUCGAAAUGAUAGCCUGAUUUUUUAUUUUUAAAUCUAAUGUAGAAACACAACAGAAGUUCAGUAAUGACAUCAUUGGUUGCGUAAGGCAAAAUUUAAUAUAACAUUUACAAAUAAAAUUUGGUGACAUGAAUAAAGCAAGAAGGGAGACUGACAGGAUUCAUUCCCUUACCAGGGUUUCAAGCCCCAGACGGCUCUGUUCUGAUUGGUGCAUGUUGGAUGUUGUCAAAGGAAAUAGUCAAAUCUCCGUGUAUAGUAGUUGAUGUUUCCUUUCAAUUUAGGCUCUUCCGGAAUCUCACGUUGAAACCCAACAAGUUUUGUCGUCAAAACCACCAGUCAACCUGUCUCCCAAAGGUGUCUCACUUGCAAGUCGUAGUCCUAGAAUGGUAGUUGACAAUGAUUUUAUUUUAGUAUAAAGUCACUGCUUAGGUAAGAGAGGGGGAGUAGAGGCCACUGCCUGAAAAUUGAAAGGGACCUAAAGGGUCCAUGAAUAUCCGGCCAACCCUGAUGGAGAUAACGAAGACAAACUAUGUUGGCCGCUGGCCACAUCUUGCCUUAUUUUUUUUUCUAUGAAAUCCCAUAUCGUGGAUUCAUUUAAUUUUGUAUACAUGCAAUAUAAUAUAGUGAAACCACUGAAGGGAGAGUGAACAUUAUCUUUACAAAAAUGAAUAGACCAUUACAUAUGAUAUUGAAGUUAGUAUGACUUUUUGAGUGAUUUAAUCAUAGAUUGUGACAUCCUGCCACAUAUUUGUUAGUUCUGAGUCAAUUGAAGUAAGAUUCGUCUACCUUAAUAGAAGUUAGACGAUCUUCCUCAUUUCUUUGUGCUUCUUAGAGAAUUUACCUGAUAGGAAUGAAACUGGGUGAACUCAUUUCUUACACAAAAGGAUGUUCGAACGGGUGGUCCAGACAUGCCCUUUUAAAACUUAAGUUAGACAAGAAUAUCUCAAACUGUUUAGUGAGAGAGAGUAGAUAGGUGUAUGUACGCACGUACCUUGGUUGUGCUUUAUUGGAGGGUUUUUAUAGUGCUGAAGAGAAUACCACUGUAGUGUUAACUAGACACUUUAACUUUCUCUAUAAUGAUGAUUGUCUUGUAGACGGCUAGACAAUCAUCACAAUUUUGGGUGGUUGGUAGGUGCCACUAGUUGACAUGCCAUGAACUUGGAUUGUGUAGCUGUCUGUCCCUUCAGCCCGUUGAUGACCUGAAGUUAUGUGCAACAAUUAAUUGACAUGAACUUGAGGGUUAGAAGAGGUCCCAUCGGCUGUUCGCAUGUCAGGUGUGAAUGAUCAUGUAUGCCUAUUGGUUUUGAAGACUUUACUGAACAGUUCUAUCCGUUUGGGGGAUCCGACCCCCUUGUAGCCCGACCCUGUAGGGGAAAAUGACCUUCUUAUGCUUGGUGCCGGACGAAACUGAUCAUGAUCCGAACGGAAUGAUUUGGACGGGUUGCGUACUUAUGCUAGCAGCCCCCCCCCCCCACAAUAUUGAGUGGAUAAACCCCAUGCAUCAUGAGGACCGAUGAAUAUAGUAUCUUAUUUGUGAUAAGGGGGUAUGCACCCAUAAAGAACCAAGCCCCACCAAGUCAUCUUUGAUCACUUUGUUUCUCAUGUGGAUAAAAAAUGCAUCUCAGUCAUGCCAAAGGAAAAUCUCAUCAAGCUCUUAUAGAAGGAAAAAGAAGGAAAACGACACUAGUGAUCGUUUGCAUAUAAAAGGACAGAAUGCCAACAUUUUCUGUGAAAAUAUUUUGGGCUUAUUCACCUUUUCUUUUUCAAUUGAUUUAAUAACACCACAAAUUACUCUGUUAUAAAGUCACACGUCUUCUUUUGAAAGAGUUGGUCAGCAGUUCAUCAUAUCUAACACAUUCCUGGCACCUGCACCUUUUAAAUUAGGUCGCCUAAAAAUUUUGGUUACUUUGGACAUUGGACCUCCCUUACGAUUCAAUUAAACCAAAAGGAGUACACUUGUAACGCACAAUGAUAAAGUGUUUACUGCAUUCUGGAACAUUUUCAGUCUGCUCUACCUAAUCUCAAGGAAAGAAAAGUUGGGUCAACAGUACUCCUCACAUGCAUGCAUGCAUCAGAUAGAAAAAGCACACAUCUUUUUUCCUUUCCAUAUUCUUUUGCCUUCUCCCACCUUCACAACGUUUUCUAGCUGCAUUGCCAGUGAGGGUUCUGUGGAAUGUUUUAGAGGAAUUAAACAAAUUUCAGGAUUUCAUUUGAUUUGAUUUUUAGUUAAGUUGGUCUAAGAUUGAAAUGAAAUAAACGCUCUCCACCCUUUGCACAUGCAUUUUCAGCUACUCGUUACCACUCAUGCACCAGCCAUUCAUCCUGGCUAAGAGAUGGAUUUCUAUCCAAAUCUAUUUUUGUUCUUAAUUUAGAGUUUGAAUUUCUGCACGAAACCAAUCAAUUGUUUCUACAAAAAUAUGUGGUUUAGUCUGGGCAACGGGCAAUGGAAAUUUCAACUUGGACCUGGUUUAAAUAGUGAGUCAAAACCUCAUUACAAUCAAAUAUGAAAAUAUUGAUAACUACGGAUAUAUCGGUAUUUCGAUUUUAUGGAUAUAUCAGUAGAUAUUUUGACACAAAAUAUCAAUAGACCUAAAAUUGAUAAGAACUAUAAAAAUAUAAGAAAAAACUCUUAAAAAUGAAAUUAAAAGUAUAAUAGGUAUUUUAAAAUUAUUUUGUUCAAUAAAUUGAAAUUGAUAUAUGUAUGAUAUAAUUUAUUAUAUUUGAUAAUAAUAUUGUAUGUGUGGAUAAAAAACAUAAAUUUCAUAAGUUUACAUUUAUUAUUAAAUCAUAUCAAAUAUUACUCAUAAUAAUACUGUGAUUUUUUAUUAUAAAGUAUCUAAUUUUAAAAUAUAUUUAAUAUUAAAACUAUAAUAUAUUUAAUUCAAUUAUAUUAAAUAAUAUAAAAUAAAUAAUAAUAUAUGUAUAAUUUUUAAUAAUUAUAAUUAAUUUAAUUAUUUAUUGAAAUAUUUAUUUAAUAUUAUGCUUAUAUGAUAAGUUUUGGUCUAUAUAUAUUUGGUGUAAUAUACAUAAUAAGGGGUAAGCUUGCUAUAGUGGUUGACUUAACUGUAUGGUGAACCUUUAGGCUAACCAUCACUCUCUUGCUUUGACCACCCCAAAAUAUCAUGAAAUAUGGUGAAAAAUUGGUAAAAUGCCAAUAAAUG
rnacentral:lncRNA from 1 species